rnacentral:rRNA from 1 species
UACGUAGGUGGCAAGCGUUAUCCGGAUUUAUUGGGCGUAAAGGGGACGCAGGCGGUCUUUUAAGUCUGAUGUGAAAGCCUUCGGCUUAACCGGAGUAGUGCAUUGGAAACUGGGAGACUUGAGUGCAGAAGAGGAGAGUGGAACUCCAUGUGUAGCGGUGAAAUGCGUAGAUAUAUGGAAGAACACCAGUGGCGAAAGCGGCUCUCUGGUCUGUAACUGACGCUGAGGUUCGAAAGCGUGGGUAGCGAACAGG